rnacentral:rRNA from 1 species
AACGUAGGACGCGAGCGUUAUCCGGAGUUACUGGGCGUAAAGCGCGGGCAGGCGGUGCGACACAGCGGACGUGAAAGCGCCCGGCUCAACCGGGCGAGGCCGUUCGCGAUGGUCGUGCUGGAGGGCAGCAGAGGGGCGUGGAAUUCCGGGUGGAGUGGUGAAAUGCGUAGAGAUCCGGAGGAACACCAGAGGCGAAGGCGGCGCCCUGGGCUGCAACUGACGCUGAACCGCGACAGCCAGGGGAGCGAACGGG